rnacentral:rRNA from 1 species
UGGGGAAUUUUGGACAAUGGGCGAAAGCCUGAUCCAGCAAUGCCGCGUGUGUGAAGAAGGCCUUCGGGUUGUAAAGCACUUUUGUCCGGAAAGAAAUCCUUGGCUCUAAUACAGUCGGGGGAUGACGGUACCGGAAGAAUAAGCACCGGCUAACUACGUGCCAGCAGCCGCGGUAAUACGUAGGGUGCAAGCGUUAAUCGGAAUUACUGGGCGUAAAGCGUGCGCAGGCGGUUUGCUAAGACCGAUGUGAAAUCCCCGGGCUCAACCUGGGAACUGCAUUGGUGACUGGCAGGCUAGAGUAUGGCAGAGGGGGGUAGAAUUCCACGUGUAGCAGUGAAAUGCGUAGAGAUGUGGAGGAAUACCGAUGGCGAAGGCAGCCCCCUGGGCCAAUACUGACGCUCAUGCACGAAAGCGUGGGGGAGCAAACAGGAUUAGAUACCCUGGUAGUCCACGCCCUAAACGAUGUCAACUAGUUGUUGGGGAUUCAUUUCCUUAGUAACGUAGCUAACGCGUGAAGUUGACCGCCUGGGGAGUACGGUCGCAAAGAUUAAAACUUAAAUGAAUUGACGGGGU